rnacentral:lncRNA from 1 species
AGGCUUGAGAUCGGCUGAAGAGAGCGGGCCCAGGCUCUGUGAGGAGGCAAGCAUCAUGCACUAUCCUGUUGGGAGCAUCCUCACCUCCAAGACACUGUUUGGGCCUGAGGAGAAGGAGUCUGCAGUGACCCUGUCGUGGUAUUUUCCACAAGAAUUCUGAAAUGAAGCAAGCACAGGUUCUCAGGGGACAGGCUGACCAGGAUCACCAGGAAGCUCCAGAGGAUCCCCAGGAGGCCCUAGAGGAGCACCAAAGGAGAAGAUCUGCCAGUGGGUCUCCAUUGCCCAGCUCCUGCCCACACUCCUGCCUGUUGCGGUGACCAGAGUCGUCAUGUCUCUUGAGCAGAAGAGUCAGCACUGCAAGCCUGAGGAAGGCCUUGACACCCAAGAAGAGGCCCUGGGCCUGGUGGGUGUGCAGGCUGCCACUACUGAGGAGCAGGAGGCUGUGUCCUCCUCCUCUCCUCUGGUCCCAGGCACCCUGGGGGAGGUGCCUGCUGCUGGGUCACCAGGUCCUCUCAAGAGUCCUCAGGGAGCCUCCGCCAUCCCCACUGCCAUCGAUUUCACUCUAUGGAGGCAAUCCAUUAAGGGCUCCAGCAACCAAGAAGAGGAGGGGCCAAGCACCUCCCCUGACCCAGAGUCUGUGUUCCGAGCAGCACUCAGUAAGAAGGUGGCUGACUUGAUUCAUUUUCUGCUCCUCAAGUAUUAAGUCAAGGAGCCGGUCACAAAGGCAGAAAUGCUGGAGAGAGUCAUCAAAAAUUACAAGCGCUGCUUUCCUGUGAUCUUCGGCAAAGCCUCCGAGUCCUUGCAGCUGGUCUUUGGCAUUGACGUGAAGGAAGCGGACCCCACCAGCAACACCUACACCCUUGUCACCUGCCUGG